UGGGGAAUAUUGGACAAUGGGCGAAAGCCUGAUCCAGCCAUGCCGCAUGUGUGAAGAAGGUCUUCGGAUUGUAAAGCACUUUAAGUUGGGAGGAAGGGUUGUAGAUUAAUACUCUGCAAUUUUGACGUUACCGACAGAAUAAGCACCGGCUAACUCUGUGCCAGCAGCCGCGGUAAUACAGAGGGUGCAAGCGUUAAUCGGAAUUACUGGGCGUAAAGCGCGCGUAGGUGGUUAGUUAAGUUGGAUGUGAAAUCCCAGGGCUCAACCUGGGAACUGCAUUCAAAACUGACUGACUAGAGUAUGGUAGAGGGUGGUGGAAUUUCCUGUGUAGCGGUGAAAUGCGUAGAUAUAGGAAGGAACACCAGUGGCGAAGGCGACCACCUGGACUGAUACUGACACUGAGGUGCGAAAGCGUGGGGAGCAAACA
rnacentral:rRNA from 1 species